UACGAAGGGGGCUAGCGUUGCUCGGAAUCACUGGGCGUAAAGGGUGCGUAGGCGGGUCUUUAAGUCAGGGGUGAAAUCCUGGAGCUCAACUCCAGAACUGCCUUUGAUACUGAGGAUCUUGAGUUCGGGAGAGGUGAGUGGAACUGCGAGUGUAGAGGUGAAAUGCGUAGAUAUCGGUAGGAACACCAGUGGCGAAGGCGGUCUCCUGGGGCAUUCUUGACGCUGAGGCGCGAAAGCUGGGGGAGCAAACGGG
rnacentral:rRNA from 1 species